AGGGUUUAAAACAGAAGAAUGUUUUCCAGCGCACAAAGUUCGAUACAAAACUUGUUAAGGUCUCACCAAGCAAGGAAGAAAGUCGGGCGUUGAAAACACCGAAUGCUUAUAAAAAAGGAAUUGCAGCCAAGUUUGGUAACCUUGCAGGACUGACUAAUGAAUCAAGUGGAGAAACAGGGCUUUGCUGGAAGGUUGACUGGGAAAAAACUCCUCAACCCGUUCAGAUCCAGCUGAAAUGCUUACGAGGUAUUAGAGACAAGGUGCCCCAAGGGAGCUACAUCCUCAAGGUUUCUCUCCGCAGACGACUUGGCGAUAAGGUCCUUUGUUGGGCCAAAGUGGAGGGGCAAACUGGAACAACACUACCUGUCACACAUAAUGGGAAUUUCUAUGAUGUGGAGAUCUGUUUUGACCAAAGUGUUCACACAAUCACUGGCUGUGCAAUCUCUAUUUUCAGAUAAUUAAACUACCGCGGUAUUCAGAUGAGCAGAAAGAACAUGAACCAGUUCUACAGCUCUCUUCAAAUGUAUAUUCAAGCAUUACCGAGAAAAAUGGUGUUUUCAAGAAGGAGACAACAGGUGGACUGCAAGAGGAUGGAUUGAAGAGCUCACGUGCAGUACAAUAUCACUCAAGGAGUUCAUUUGGAUCGC